GGUUUUUUUGCAGACUGUAAAUUUUGUAGGAUUGACCCCAGAUUUUACCCAGUUCGUGCAAAUAAGUAACCACAGUCCGAAUAAAACCCACUCCGCGUUCGCUGGGAAACCUCAUAGUCGGACAGGAUUGAGUGCGAUGGCUGCAAGAAUUGAGAAAUCUGCUUUUCAUGUCCCAGAUUUGGAGGAGCUUUGUCGAGUGUUGCAGGAUGGACUGAAGAAAAACUUUGCAAAUGUUCAGGUGUGCGUGGUGGACUGCCCAGACCUCGCACAGGAACCAUUCACUUUUGCUGCUGCAGGGAUAUGUGGGAAACCUCGCAUAGCAGAUGUGGGAGGAGUUCCUUAUCUUCUACCACUUCCACAAACUGAGAAGAUCUAUAAUCUCAAUGUUGUUGCUAAGGAAGUGGAACUGCCUGGUGGUUUCAUCCUUGGAGCAGGAGCAGCAUCAUUUAAAGCUAUGGGUGUAAUUGCAGAGCUUAUGCCUAAUGUCUCGACCAAAGGAAAUGGUAAACCUGAAGUGAAUCACAGCUAUAGUGCCAAAAUAGACCCUGCUACGGGUGGGUGUGUUCUUGAGAGAUAUGGCGAAACAUACAAGACCUGUGAUUUUGCACUGCUAGCAAACUUGUUCAUCAGUGAAGGAAAGCCAGGAAAGGUUGUUCAAGUAAGAAGCAGCAGAAGAACUGGACAGAGUAACUUUGUGAGCUGUAUGAGGGAAACCCUUGAACAGCACUAUGGAGAUAAGCCUGUAGGAAUGGGAGGGACUUUCCUCAUUCAAACAGGCAAAGCUAAACUUCAUGUUAUGCCAGAGUUUUCCACCUGUCCUUUGAACAGCAACGAGGCUGUAAAUAACUGGCUGAAGUUCUUUGACAUGAGUGCUCCUCUCAUCUGCCAGUCAGUAUUUGUGUCCCGCGAUCUGGGAUUUGACCUUCGAUUGGAGCAUACCCAUUGUUUCAGCCAUCAUGGAGAAGGUGGACACUAUCACUACGAUAUUACUCCAGACAAUGUGGAAUACCUGGGCUACUUUGUACCAGCAGAAUACCUUUAUCGCAUUGAUCGUCCUGAGAAGACUCACAAAAUAGGACGUGAUUAGUCGCACAUAAUCCAGGCGUUUUGUCACCAUGCUAGGUGACAUCAUCAGUGGAGCCUCCGAUGAAGUGAUGUUAUUCUACUCUGCUUUGAAUUUAUACUGUCCGGUCCGUUCUGUUGGACAAAAAUCUUUGAAAUAGAUCAACAGUCCUCCAUGCUUUGGAACAGCCCUCUGUUACAGAACAGUCUCCAGCUGAGAGUCUAACAAGAGAAAUGGAUUCCUGCCCUCAGGCAUUGCUGAUUUUGAAGCCGACUAUGAUAGAAUAUGCGUUAAAUGACUUUUCUUCAGAUUUUCCACCCUUUUGUAUUUGAAAUGGAUAUUCCCUUAAAGCCAUGGCUAACAUAGUGAACAUGUUGUGCAGGGAGCACGGACAGACCGCAUUUUCCUGCCACUGUCUUAAGCAUUGGGGUAGAAAUAAGAUUGUGUCUGAAAAUGAGUGUAUGUUCACUUGGAUGCUGGGAUCACAUGAAUUUGGAGCUGACCCCCUCAUUAUCAUCAGAUGUACAAGGCAGCAACACCAACACCGCUUACAAGGUUAUGCUUCUGUUCACGGGUGGAGGACAGGAAAUUGGGUAUCUUUGACCCUUCUUAAAUACAGCCAGUGAUUCUUAAAGGGUUGAUGCAUUGUGGCUGCGGUUAGGAGGAAACAGUUGUGGGCAAAGAAAGGCAGUAAGUCUGAGACAAUCUCUCCUGCAAGGUUUCCCUAGUGUUGCUUUGGUUCGGUCAGUGUGACAGGAGGUCACAGGAGAAGUUUCUGUUCCCCACUGCACCACCUCCAGCUUCACAAUACAUUUAAGAUUGGGUGUGGGGUUUACCUAUUUAGAUGCAGUGAUUGUCCACAAUGUCCUGUUCUCAGUAGUAGGCCGAUUAUAUUAAAUGUUGCUCCACUAUGUGCAAUAUUGCGAAUAUACAGUCUGUCAGGGUAGGAGUCAUAGAGUCACACAGUACGGAAACAGAUCCUUUAGUCCCAUUCGUCCAUGCCGACCAAGUUUCCCAAACUAAAUUAGUCCCAUUUGCCUGCGUUUGGCCUAUCCCCCUCCAAGCCUUUCCUAUUCCUGUACCUAUUUAAUGUCUUUUAAAAUUUUGUAGCUGUACCUAAAUCUACCACUUCCUGUGGCAGGUUAUUCCACCAGCAAACCACCCUCUAUGUGAAAAAGUUGCCUUCAGGUCCCUUUAAAAUCUUUCUCCUCUCAUCUUAAAAAUAUGCCCCCUAGUUUUGAACCCUAGGGAAAAAGACCUUUGCUGUUCACCUUAUCUAUGCCCCUCAUGAUUUUAUAAGGUUCCCCCCUCAACCUCUUAUGUUCCGGUGAAAAGAAGUCCCAGCCUAUCCAGCCUUACCGUAUAACUCAAACCCUCCAGUCCCAGCAUCAUCCUAGUAAAUCUCUGCUGAACCCUCUCCAAUUUAAUAAUACGUGGUUGAGUUUGUUUCUAAAAGGGGAUUAAGAAGAAUGCAUUUAAGUGGACAUCAGCCUGACUGAGGUGGCUUGGAGCUUCCCAGCUGGUUCUAGUCCAAACUGCCAAUUGACUCCAUUCCAGCUAUUAGCAAUACAGUUGCCACAUCUUGUUAGCUCCCUCCGUUUGUGCAUAAUCUUUUCCAUUCUAGUCAUACAAAGCAGACAGCUGUUAGCAUUUUCAAGAACAGACAGUGUCAAUCCAGUUUCCAAUCUACAACUGUCCUUGUGUGAAUUUACAGCAAAGCAGCAGGCAAGGUGUCAGCUUCAUGUGCCACAACAUGAAAACAUUACAGCUGUCAGGCAAGGCUCAGUUGGCACCCUUGCUCUGAGUCAGAAGAUUGUAGAUUCAAGGCUCACUCCAGAGAUACAAGCACAUUUGUCAAUCACCUUAAAACAGCAUCUUUUGGUCCUCAAUUCUUUUGCCAAUGGGAAAGGCUCUGUUUAUUUACUCUUUAAAGAACUUGUGAUUUAGAACAUCUCCAUUAGAUCUCCUCUCAACCUAAUCUUGUCCAAGGAGAACCACCUUAGCUUCACCUAUCUAUCAAAGUAACUGCAGCCACUCAUCAAUGAAAUAAAAUCUGGUAAAUUUUCUUUCCACACUCUCGAAAGUCAUCACAUUCUUUCCAAAGUGUGGACCCCAGAACUGGACACAAAACUCUAGCUGAUGCUAAAUCAGGUUUUUGUAAACAUUCUUCAUAACUUUCUGAGGUAAGGUCACUCGACCCGAAAUGUUAACUGAUUUUUCUCCACAGGUGCUGCCAGACCUGCUGAGAUUUUCCAGCGAUCUCUGUUUUUGUUUCAUCAUAACUUUUUUGCUUUAGUACUCUAUGCAUUUAUGAAUAAAACCUAGACCGUGUGCCCUUUUAACCACUUUACCAACCAGUCCUACCACCUUUAAUGACUUAUGCAUGCAUGCCUCCAGAUCCCUCUGUUAGAGUACGCCCUUUAGAAUUAUGCUGUUUAGUUUAUAUCACCUCUCCUCAUCACUAUUAGCAAAUGUGUCACUUUACACGUUGUCGCAUUAAUUUUCAUCUGCCAAAUGUUUGCCCAUGACAUUCAUCUGUGUUUUCUUUAAUUCUGUUAUGACCCUCCUCAAAGUUCACCACACCCCCAUGUUUUGUGUCACCUGCAAGUUUUUGACAUCAUAUUCUGCACACCUAAGUUUCAGUCAUUAAUAUAUAUUAAGGAAAAGAGUGGUCUUAGUAUCAACCUCAAGAGAAACCCUCUAAACAUCUUCGUUCAGUUCAAAAACUGUUAACUACUGAUCAUAUUUGUUUGCUAUCAUUUAGCAAGCUUCUUAUUCAUGCUGUCUUCAACUCCACAAGCUUCGCUUAUGCUGGCAAAUUUUUUAUGUGGCACUUUACCAAAUAUAUGCCUUUUUGAAGUCCACAACCACACCAUCAACUGUAUUACCUUCACCAGCUGCCUUUGUACCUUAUCAAAAAACUCCAAGUUAGUUAAAUAAAUUUUGCUUUUAAUAAACCCAUGCUAGUUUUCCUCAAUUAAUCCACCCUAUUCAAAGGGAUAAGGAAAAGCCAGGGAACUAUAGACCAGUGAGCGUGACAUCAGGGGUGGGGCAAAUUGUUGGAGGGAAUUCUGAGGGAUAAGAUUUACAUGUAUUUUGAAAGGGAAGGACUGAUUAGGGAAAGUCAACAUGGCUUUGAGUGUGGGAAAUCGUGUCUCAGUAACUUGGUUGAGUUUUUUGAAGAAGUAAUGAAGAGGAUUGAUGAGGACAGAACGGUGGAUAUAUCUAUAUGGACUUCAGUAAGGCUUUUGACAAGGUUCCUUGUGAUAGACUGGUUAGCAAGGUUAGAUCACAUGGAAUGCAGGGAGAACUAACUAUCCGGAUAGAGAACUGGCUCAAAAAUGGAAGACAGAGGGUGGUGGUGGAGGGUUGCUUUCCAGACUAGAGGCCUGUGACCAGCGGUGUGCCAGAAGGCUCGGUGCUGAGUCCACUGCUUUUUGUCAUUUACAUAAAUGAUUUGGGUGUGAACGUAGGAGAUUUGGUUAAUAAGUUUGCAGAAGAUGCCAAAAUUGGAGGUGUAGUGGACAGUGAAGAAAGUUACCUCAAAGUACAAUGGGAUCUUGAUCAGAUGGGCCAAUGGGUGGCAGAUGGAGUUUAAUUUAGAUAAAUGUGAGAUGCUGCAUUUUGGAAAGGCAAAUCAGGUCAGGACUUACACACUUAACGGUGAGGUCCUGGGGAGUGUUGCUGUGUAAAGAGAUCUUGGAGUGUAGUUCAUAGUUCCUUGUAAGUGGAGUUGCAGGUAGAAAGGAUAGUAAAGAAGGCAUUUGGUACGCUUGCCUUUAUUGGUCAGUGCAUUGAGUACAGGAGUUGGGAGGUCAUGUUGCGGCUGUACAGGACAUUGAUUAGGCCACUUUUGGAAUAUUGUGUGCAAUUCUUUUCUCCCUCCUAUAGGAAGGAUUUUGUAAAACUUGAAAGAGUUCAGAAAAGAUUUACAAGGAUGUUUGCCAGGGUUGGAGGGUUUGAGCUAUAGAGAGAGGCUGAAUAGGCUGGGGCUAUUUUCUCUGCAACAUCAGAGGCUGACGAGUGAUCUUAUAGAAGUUUAUAAAAUCAUGAGGGGCAUGGAUAGGGUAAUUAAGCAAGGUCUUUUACCCGGGGUGGUGGAGUCCAAAACUAGAAGGCAUAGGUUUAAGGUACGAGGGGAAAUAUUUAAAAGGGACUUAAGGGGCAAUAUUUUCACACGAAGGUUAGUGUGUGUAUGGAAUGAGCUGCUGGAGGAAGUGGCAGAGGCUGGUACAAUUACAACAUUUCAAAGGUACCUGGAUGGGUAUGUGAAUAGGAAGGGUUUAGAGGGAUAUGGGCCAAAUGCUGCCAAACGGGACUAGAUUUACAUAGGAUAUCUGGUCAGCAUGGACGAGUUGGACCGAAGGGUCUGUUUCCAUGCUGUAUAUCUCUAUGACUCUAAUUGACUGUUAAUUUAUCCUGUGCCAUUUUUCGAGAAGUUUCCCUAUCAUGGAGGUUAAACUGACUAGCCUGUAGUUGCUCGGUUUCCAUUUCACCAUCUUUUGAACAAAUGUUUAUUACUUGCAAUUCUCCAGUUUUCUUGCACCGUCCUUGAAUGUAAAGUGGAUCAGUUGUUUAUGUUACUGUUUCCAAAGUUUUCAUGACUAAUUUUGUCAGUAUCUAUGGAUGCAUCAAAUCCAGUCUUGGUGGUUUACCAAGUUAAAGUUGAGCCAGCCUUUCUCAUACACCCUCUUUAUGAAUUCUUAACAAUCUCCUUAAAAUAACACAGGUUUUCUGAUGAUUAUUACAUUACUGUUUGUGAGAUCUUACUGCGUGCUCUUGGUGGCUGUUAUUAAUGUACACAUUGCCCCGUAAAUUUAGGGGAUUGAAGUUGCGAACCAUCGUAACUCUCGGGUUCAUUUACAUUCCUUUGCUGUUUGUUUCACAUUAAAAAAACUCACUGUUGGCCUCCCAGUUAUUUUUGAGAACUUUCUAGAUUUGUACAUUAAU